rnacentral:rRNA from 1 species
CCUACGGGGGGCAGCAGUGGGGAAUAUUGCGCAAUGGGGGAAACCCUGACGCAGCGACGCCGCGUGGGUGAUGAAGGCCUUCGGGUCGUAAAGCCCUGUCGGAGGGGAAGAAGGAUUGCGGUGCAAAUAGUUCCGUGGUCUGACGGUACCCUUAAAGGAAGCACCGGCUAACUCCGUGCCAGCAGCCGCGGUAAUACGGAGGGUGCAAGCGUUGCUCGGAAUUACUGGGCGUAAAGCGCGUGUAGGCGGUUUCGUAUGUCUGGCGUGAAAGCCCCGGGCUCACCCCGGGAAGUGCGCUGGAAACUGCGAGACUAGAGUCCCGGAGAGGAAGGUGGAAUUCCAGGUGUAGCGGUGAAAUGCGUAGAUAUCUGGAAGAACACCGGUGGCGAAGGCGGCCUUCUGGACGGUGACUGACGCUGAGACGCGAAAGCGUGGGGAGCAAACAGGAUUAGAUACCCUUGUAGUC